GGCAUGGUCCCAGGGCUCACCCGGAUCGGGGCCUGUCAGUUCCAUCCCCCAGCACCUCCGCUCUGACGCCCAUGGAGCUGCGAGGUGCUGCGCUUAGGGUGACCAGAGGAGGGUCCAUUCCCUGCAACAUCUGUGGCCGCAGAGGGCACACUGCUGGUCGGUGCUGUGGGGGUUCCUCAGGGAGUCGCAGGCUGGGCACUAUCGUGUCACUCCAGGCCGGUGGUGGCUGGUCCACUCCAGGAGUUUGAGGUGCGCGAGGUUCCUCCGGCCCCUCUGGACAUCGAGGGUGCCCCGGUGUAUGCUGUUCGAGCCAUCCUGGACUUGAGGCGUCGGACGAAGGGCCUUCAGUACCUCGUGGAGUGGGAGGGGUACGGUCCGGAGGAGAGAUGCUGGGUGCCGGUGGAGGUCUUCAUGGACCCUUCAUUGCUGCGGGAGUUCCACCGUCUCCAUCCGGAUCGCCCUGCGCCUUGUCCUCCAGGUCGUCCCCGAGGUCGUGUCGGUGCGCUGCUGGAGCCGAAGUCGUUCCCUCUCCUUGUUCAGGCGGCGUUCAACGUCACCGACCUUCUAGCCAUCGCCAAUCCACUUUUCAUUUUCCAUUUGUUUUGUCCUUGUCUUACACACCUGGUUUCAUUCCCCCAAUUACUUGUUCAUUAUUUAACCAUCUGUUCCCCCAUGUUUGUUUGUAAUACGAUCCGUUAUUGUGGGCUCAAAUUAUUGCGUUGUAUUUGUGAAUAUAUGAGUAAAUUAUGUUUAUUACUCA